rnacentral:rRNA from 1 species
AUGAACGCUGGUGGCGUGCCUAACACAUGCAAGUCGAACGGACUUUACUCGCUGCAGAGAUUUCGGUCAAAGCUUGAGUAAAGUUAGUGGCGGACGGGUGAGUAACGCGUGGGCAACCUGCCUCAUACUGGGGGAUAACAGUUGGAAACGGCUGUUAAUACCGCAUAAGCGCACAGUGUCGCAUGACACAGUGUGAAAAACUCCGGUGGUAUGAGAUGGGCCCGCGUCAGAUUAGCUAGUUGGCGGGGUAACGGCCCACCAAGGCGACGAUCUGUAGCCGGACUGAGAGGUCGGACGGCCACAUUGGGACUGAGACACGGCCCAAACUCCUACGGGAGGCAGCAGUGGGGGAUAUUGCACAAUGGAGGAAACUCUGAUGCAGCGACGCCGCGUGAGUGAAGAAGUAUUUCGGUAUGUAAAGCUCUAUCAGCAGGGAAGAAAGGCUCGCAAGAGAGAUGACGGUACCUGACUAAGAAGCCCCGGCUAACUACGUGCCAGCAGCUGC